rnacentral:lncRNA from 1 species
UGAAAUAACUAGUAGCAUAUACAAGAAAACACAUUUGGGGUGGUAAUCAAAUGCUGGUUGUGGUAUCCCUGUUUUUUAAAAUAAUUUUUUGACUAAUUUCAUUGGCAUCAAAAUAAGAAGUGUCCUGUGAAGCCUAGAUGAAGAUGGGAAUGAGUUGAUUACUCUCUAGCUAGCUUAUUAACAGCAAGAAUGGAUGUAGCAAUGUCCUGCUUCUGGAAAUCAGUCUGAAAUCUGUCAUUAAAGAAAUAAUUAUAUGUACCAUAGAUAAUUUCACUGGGAUAUUGAAUAAAGUUAGAUCUCAUUGGAAAAAUGGCCAGAAGCAUGUAAUGUGCUAGCAGUUUCUUCCUGUGACAUCAGAAUAGUUUUUUUCCCCCCCUUCUCUUAGUAUUCUGUGAUGAGCUAUCAUCUGUCGGGUUGUGCUUGGUGCUGUUUUCCUGAACCUAUCUUUGAGUGUCAUAGUUGUAUGGAAAAAUUAUUUAGCUAUUUUUAGACUGAAGUAAAAGAAAGAAGAGGAAAGAAGAGGAGAUGAAGAAGGACUCCAUCAGUUAGUUUUUUGGAAAAAAAGAGUUCAAGAAUGAGCCUGGGUAAACCUGGCUGCUUGAAGUCUGAGGAAGAAGAUUGGUUUCUGCAUGAGUUUCACUGACAUGGAAGCUGGUAAGGGUUUUCAAACUCUGACUGUUCCAUGUUUUAAAAGUUGUCACUGGGCGAUUCGGUGCCGCAUAGCAUGGCACAGUGUUUCAGAAUGA